rnacentral:rRNA from 1 species
GAACCUUACCUACCCUUGACAUCCUGCGAAGGAGACUGAGAGGUUUCCGUGCCGCAAGGAGCGCAGAGACAGGUGCUGCAUGGCUGUCGUCAGCUCGUGUUGUGAGAUGUUGGGUUAAGUCCCGUAACGAGCGCAACCCUUGUCCUUAGUUGCCAGCAAGUCAUGUUGGGGACUCUAAGGAGACUGCCGGUGAGGAACCGGAGGAAGGCGGGGACGACGUCAAGCCAUCAUGGCCUUUAUGGGUAGGGCUACACACGUGCUACAAUGGGGCGUACAGAGGGUUGCCAACCCGCAAGGGGGAGCCAAUCUCAAAAAGCGUCUCGUAGUCCGGAUUGGAGUCUGCAACUCGACUCCAUGAAGUCGGAAUCGCUAGUAAUCGCGAAUCAGCCAUGUCGCGGUGAAUACGUUCCCGGGCCUUGUCACACCGA